rnacentral:rRNA from 1 species
GACGAACGCUGGCGGCGUGCCUAAUACAUGCAAGUAGAACGCUGAAGGAGGAGCUUGCUUCUCUGGAUGAGUUGCGAACGGGUGAGUAACGCGUAGGUAACCUGCCUGGUAGCGGGGGAUAACUAUUGGAAACGAUAGCUAAUACCGCAUAAUAGUAGAUGUUGCAUGACAUUUGCUUAAAAGGUGCAAUUGCAUCACUACCAGAUGGACCUGCGUUGUAUUAGCUAGUUGGUGGGGUAACGGCUCACCAAGGCGAGGAUACAUAGCCGACCUGCGAGGGUGAUCGGCCACGCUGGGACUGAGACACGGCCCAGACUCCUACGGGAGGCAGCAGGAGGGAAUCUUCGGCAAUGGACGGAAGUCUGAACGAGCAACGCCGCGUGAGGGAAGAAGGUUUUCGGAUCGUAAAGCUCUGUUGUAAGAGAAGAACGAGUGUGAGAGUGGAAAGUUCACACUGUGACGGUAUCUUACCAGAAAGGGACGGCUAACUACGUG